rnacentral:rRNA from 1 species
CGAGAAUCUUGGGCAAUGCGCGAAAGCGUGACCCAGCAAUGCCGCGUGUGUGAUGAAGGCCUUCGGGUCGUAAAGCACUGUCUCCCGUGACGAAAUUUGACGGUAGCGGGGAAGGAAGCCACGGCUAACUACGUGCCAGCAGCCGCGGUAAUACGUAGGUGGCGAGCGUUGUUCGGAUUUAUUGGGCGUAAAGGGUCUGUAGGAGGUUCGUUAAAUACGAGGUGAAAUCCCGAAGCUCAACCUCGGAACUGCCUUGUAGACUGACGGACUAGAGUACCGGAGAGGUAAGCGGAAUACCAGGUGUAGCGGUGGAAUGCGUAGAUAUCUGGUAGAACACCAAUAGCGAAGGCAGCUUGCUGGACGGAAACUGACUCUGAAAGACGAAAGCAUGGGGAGCAAACAGGAUUAGAUACCCUGGUAGUCCAUGCCGUAAACGUUGUCAACUUGAUGUGGGGGGAUUUAGUCCUCUCCGUAUCGAAGCUAACGCGAUAAGUUGACCGCCUGGGGACUACGGCCGCAAGGCUAAAACUCAAAGGAAUUGACGGGGGCCCGCACAAGCGGUGGAGCAUGUGGCUUAAUUCGAGGCAACGCGAAGAACCUUACCUGGUCUUGAAAUAUAUCGGACCGCCUGUGAAAGCAGGCUUCCCUUCGGGGCUGAUAUACAGGUGCUGCAUGGCUGUCGUCAGCUCGUGCCGUGAGGUGUUCGGUUAAGUCCGGCAACGAGCGCAACCCGUGUCACUAGUUGCCAUCAAGUAAUGUUGGGGACUCUAGUGAGACUGCCUGUGUUAAGCAGGAGGAAGGCGCGGAUGACGUCAAGUCAGUAUGGCCCUUACGACCAGGGCUGCACACGUGCUACAAUGGGGGGUACAAUGGGAUGCAAUGUCGCGAGGCGGAGCAAAUCCACAAAACCUCUCUUAGUUCAGAUUGCAGUCUGCAACUCGACUGCAUGAAGUUGGAAUCGCUAGUAAAGGCGUAUCAGCUACGACGCCUUGAAUACGUUCC